rnacentral:rRNA from 1 species
AUACGGAGGGAGCGAGCGUUAAUCGGAAUUACUGGGCGUAAAGCGCGCGUAGGCGGUUUUGUAAGUCGGAUGUGAAAGCCCCGGGCUUAACCUGGGAACUGCAUUCGAAACUGCAAGACUGGAGUAUGGGAGAGGGAAGUGGAAUUUCCGGUGUAGCGGUGAAAUGCGUAGAUAUCGGAAGGAACACCAGUGGCGAAGGCGACUUCCUGGCCCAAUACUGACGCUGAGGUGCGAAAGCGUGGGGAGCAAACAGGAUUAGAAACCCCGGUAGUCC